GAGUUUGAUCCUGGCUCAGACUGCUCGCUGGCGGCGUGCUUAACACAUGCAAGUCGAACGGAGCUUAAUGCAACCUAGUGAUUUUAGCUUAGUGGCGGACGGGUGAGUUACGCGUGGGUUACCUGCCGCAUGCAGGGGGACAACAGAGGGAAACUUCUGCUAAUACCGCAUAAGCGCACGGGAUCGCAUGAUCCCGUGUGAAAAGAUUUUUCGGCAUGCGAUGGACCCGCGUCUGAUUUGGCAGUUGGUGAGGUAACGGCCCACCAAACCUACGAUCCGUAGCCGGCCUGAGAGGGUGAACGGCCACAUUGGGACUGAGACACGGCCCCAACUCCUACGGGAGGCAGCAGUGGGGAAUUUUGCACAAUGGGGGAAACCCUGAUGCAGCGACGCCGCGUGAGUGAAGAAGCAUUUCGGUGCGUAAAGCUCUGUCAGCAGGAAAGAAAAUGACGGUACCUGACCAAGAAGCCCCGGCUAACUACGUGCCCGCCGCCGCGGUAAUACGUAGGGGGCAAGCGUUAUCCGGAUUUUCUGGGUGUUAAGGGAGCGUAGACGGCGAAGAAAGUCUGAAGUGAAAGGCUGGGGCCCAACCCCGGGACUGCUUUGGAAACUGUUUUGCUAGAGUGCGGGAGGGGUAAGCGGAACUCCUAGUGUAGCGGUGAAAUGCGUAGAUAUUAGGAGGAACACCGGUGGCGAAGGCGGCUUACUGGACCGUAACUGACGUUGAGGCUCGAAGGCGUGGGGAGCAAACAGGAUUAGGUACCCUGGUAGUCCACGCGGUAAACGAUGAUCACUAGGUGUCCGGGGGUCAGACCUCCGGGUGCCGCAGCCAACGCAGUAAGUGAUCCACCUGGGGAGUACGUUCGCAAGAAUUGAAACUCAAAGGAAUUGACGGGGACCCGCACAAGCGGUGGGAGCAUGGGGUUAAAUCCGAAGCAACGCGAAGAACCUUACCCGGUCUUGACAUCCCCCUGAAUAACGGGCAAUGCCGUUUAGCCUCGGGGCAGGGGAGACAGGGGGUGCAUGGUUGUCGUCAGCUCGUGUCGUGAGAUGUUGGGUUAAGCCCCGCAACGAGCGCAACCCUUACGUUUAGAAGCCAGCGAGCAGAGUCGGGCACCCAAGACGGACUGCCGGGGACAACCCGGAGGAAGGCGGGGAUGACGUCAAAUCAUCAUGCCCCUUAUGACCGGGGCAACACACGUGCUACAAUGGCGUAAACAAAGGGAAGCGAGGGAGCGAUCCGGAGCGAAUCCCAAAAACAACGUCCCAGUUCGGAUCGCAGUCUGCAACUCGACUGCGUGAAGCUGGAAUCGCUAGAAAUCGCGAAUCAGAACGUCGCGGUGAAUGCGUUCCCGGGUCUUGUACACACCGCCCGUCACACCAUGGGAGUCGGAAACGCCCGAAGUCGGUGACCCAACCGCAAGGAGGGAGCCGCGAAGGCAGGUCUGAUAACUGGGGUGAAGCGAACAAGGAACCA
rnacentral:rRNA from 1 species